UGCUAUAGCAAGUGGAGGUCUUUAGA
rnacentral:piRNA from 1 species